rnacentral:rRNA from 1 species
UACGGGGGGGGCAAGCGUUGCUCGGAAUUACUGGGCGUAAAGGGCUCGUAGGCGGCCAACUAAGUCAGACGUGAAAUCCCUCGGCUUAACCGGGGAACUGCGUCUGAUACUGGAUGGCUUGAGUUUGGGAGAGGGAUGCGGAAUUCCAGGUGUAGCGGUGAAAUGCGUAGAUAUCUGGAGGAACACCGGUGGCGAAGGCGGCAUCCUGGACCAACACUGACGCUGAGGAGCGAAAGCCAGGGGAGCAAACGGG